GACGAACGCUGGCGGCGUGCUUAACACAUGCAAGUCGAACGGAAAGGCCCUGCUUUUGUGGGGUGCUCGAGUGGCGAACGGGUGAGUAACACGUGAGUAACCUGCCCUUGACUUUGGGAUAACUUCAGGAAACUGGGGCUAAUACCGGAUAGGAGCUCCUGCUGCAUGGUGGGGGUUGGAAAGUUUCGGCGGUUGGGGAUGGACUCGCGGCUUAUCAGCUUGUUGGUGGGGUAGUGGCUUACCAAGGCUUUGACGGGUAGCCGGCCUGAGAGGGUGACCGGCCACAUUGGGACUGAGAUACGGCCCAGACUCCUACGGGAGGGAGCAGUGGGGAAUAGUGCACAAUGGGCUGAAGCCUGAUGCAGCCACGCCGCGUGCGGGAUGACGGCCUUCGGGUUGUAAACCGCUUUCGCCUGUGACGAAGCGUGAGUGACGGUAAUGGGUAAAGAAGCACCGGCUAACUACGUG
rnacentral:rRNA from 1 species